CAGGUGCAGAGUGACAGUUGGAAGAAUGAAGCAGAGAGGGAGACACAGAGUUUGAAGUGUGCUCCUGCUUCAUGAGCUGCUGGAAGGAAUUUAUCCCCAUGGACAAAGGAAAGACUAUUUUAGAUCUCUCAUGAAAGGACAUUAUGGACUCAAGGUCCACAACAUGAAAUACACCUAUACCAGGGGAAUCCUAAACAAGACUGUGACUUAACUCUUUGACAUUGUCUACUUCCAACAAAGUCCUCAUAUCACCAAUCAGGAAAAUGACCCCUGCCUGCAUUGUAAUCUCAACUGCAAUAUCUCAGCUCCUGGGGAGUUAGCAACCCUAUCAUGAACUGGAAAAUCUGACUCAACACCUCUGUGUCCCAAAGUAUCCUGACAAGCAUGUUACAUAAGUGGCAUGAAUAGUCAGAAUUUCAGCCUGGAAUCAUUGUGAAGAAUUCAAUGGGUACUCAUCCUCUGCAGAAGAAAACCCAACUCACUAACAGCAGAGAUGGUAACACUAAAACAACUUGUCUAUCUAAAUGUAGUGUUUCAGCAGAAAUUUAUUACUUUUUAUUUAAAAAUAAUAUUCAUCACCUUGGAUAGCUCAUUUUUAAAUAAUCCCCGUAGUUAGAUAUAACACAUUUUGUAAGCACAGAUUACAUGUCCUCUAUACCUACAAAGCUAAAACUCUGUCCUGAUUUACUUUUUAAACCUUCUGAUAAUGCACAUGCAUUCCAGUUAGAGCUGUCAUUAUUACCCAAGUACAAGGAUGCUUUGAAUCAAGUUGUUUCAUCUGCACGCACUACAAACGUGCUAUUGUUUUCAUUCUUGCUGAUUUUUUUAUAGUUGCUGAUUUUAUCAAGUUUUCUGGUAAUUUAGCUACAGUACUGUGGAAUAGUCUGAUACGGGAGGAGGUGACAGCAUGUGUUAUUGCACUGGGUGACCCCAAACCUAAUGACACUCCUGAGUCCAAGAUGCCAGCAUGAUUAACUAAAAGAUCUUUUAAAAAUGUGAUUCAGACUAAGUAAGUAUAAAAUAAAAAAUACUGGGGCAACCCUUCCCCAAAAGCCUAGCUUCAUAUAUGUCAGAGUUAGGGAACCUGUGGCUGUCUAGAUGGAUCUCAACUCCCAUCAGUCAACACCAGCAUAGCACAUGGCAGAGGUGGGCAAAGUGCAGCCUUAAAAUGUGGCUCAUAUGAACCUCAUGGCCAUUUUGGUCCCAAGAGUGGCCUCCAGGUCACUUCCAGUUGCAAAAAAAAGUCUCCUCUGAGCCUGAAAUGGCGUGGGGCCCCAACAGCAUGGCUAAAAUUCCCACAAGCCCUCCCCAGAUAUUAUUUUGAGACAUUCUUUUAAAAUAUUGCAAGGGGAAUAGUGAGGAGGGCAGCUCCUCAAGAAGUCUUAGUGCUCCAUUCCUGCUUGGUGUACCCAUCCCUGCCCUAUAACCAAGGGUUAGGGAUCCAUAGGCUAGCAAAGCUGGAGAGCUACAAAUCCUAGGGCCUGAAGACAUAACAUUGAUGAAGGCAGAGCUGGUGAUAACCUACCAGGAAAGAGCCCAGGAUCAUGGUAAAAUAGCUCAAAAUCCCCUGGGUGACCUUGGGGAGGUCACACCCUCUUGGUUUCAGAGAAGGGAAAAGACACAGAUUACAUGUCCUCUUCUGAACAAAACUUGUCAAGAAAACCCUGCAUUAUGGUCACCUUAGGGUCUCUAUAAGUCAGAAGCCAUUUGAAGGCAUACAACAACAGCAACAAAAACUGUUUUUAGCAGUGCUAGCUUGGGGUUUCCAUGUGAGUGGGGUUGUGAAGUCACUCCUGGUUUUAGUUUGAAAUAUUAAGAACUAUCUCAGGUUUUGGACCUAUUGAGUAGAUAGGAUCCAUCACCUUGGAUAGCUCCUUUUUGGGGGGAAGAUUUGCUUUCCCAAUGACAUGGGAAAUCCAUCAGUUGUCACUGGUUUAAAGUUGUUUUAUGGAUAUUUAUCUACUCUGACCGUAUAAUAAAAGGUGGGUUAUGAAUUUAAAUAGGAGGUGAGGCAGGAAACCCAUUUUGAUAGCCUAUAUACUACUUCUGAGAUGGUAUGUUUCUGAAUUUUACUUGCUGGGACAAUAGCAGUCUGAGAGAGUCAUGUCUCCUUGGUGCUGCUAGUGGGCUUCUUAGAGUUAGGAAAUAGAUGCUAGGUUAAAGAGCUUGAAAAAUGUAUUGCUCUGGAUUGCAACUUCAGAAUCCCUUUGUUAGCAUGGGCCUUGGUCAGUGUAUUCUGGUUGUCUUCAGUUCAUAAAGACAUAAGGUUCAUAUAUAUUCCUUAAGUUGCAAUGUAUGUAUUCUUUAAGAUGUACAUUCAGAAGGGGAAAGACACACUCCCAAGCAAGUUUACCUUGAGUAUGGGCUCAGUGGAAAACUCCUGCUGCAUAAUGUGUGCAAUAAUCUAUGGGAAGUUGUGCCUGGGACAAAAAGGAAAAUCCAAGGCUCCUCGUUACUUAAGAUUAAAGGUUUGACAGAUUUUAUGACUGGGGGCAGUGAGGAAUCCCAAGCCAGAACACUGAGAUUUCCUGCUUCUCGUUUAUCAUGCUGAGGAUGUAAAUACAAUUCAAGAAUCAAGACAGAAUUUAAAAUGAGGACAAAAUCCACUCAGGAUUGCUCACCCCCUGCCAACAUCUGGUUUUAUACCACAGAAAUCAAUAGAAAAGCUGUUUAAAAGGGAGAGGGAAAUUGGUGUUGCUUCCAGCAAAAUCUCUAGAAUGACUGAAUGCAAAAGACCAAUAAAUCCUUCUUUAGAUUGAUUGAUAUGUAGCCCCAGCAGUCUGUCUUGCUGGGUUAUUCCUGUCAGCGACUCUAAAUAUCCCAGCCCCAUUGAUUAGGCUCAGGCAUCAGUGCAAAAAAAAAAAAAGUUGAAAGAAUGGGUCAGAAAAAGGCCUGUAAUAAUGAAACUGGAGAGAAUGUUCUCCUGCAG